UGGGGGAUAUUGCACAAUGGGCGAAAGCCUGAUGCAGCGACGCCGCGUGGGGGAUGAAGGCCUUCGGGUUGUAAAUUUCUUUUGCUCUGAACAAGGCGCACCAUGGGGUGUGUUGAGUGUAGGGGUUGAUUAGCGCCGGCUAACUACGUGCCAGCAGCCGCGGUAAUACGUAGGGCGCGAGCGUUGUCCGGAAUUAUUGGGCGUAAAGGGCUUGUAGGUGGCUGGUUGCGUCUGUCGUGAAAGCUCAUGGCUUAACUGUGGGUUUGCGGUGGGUACGGGCUGGCUUGAGUGCAGUAGGGGAGGCUGGAAUUCCUGGUGUAGCGGUGGAAUGCGCAGAUAUCAGGAGGAAUACCGGUGGCGAAGGCGGGUCUCUGGGCUGUUACUGACACUGAGGAGCGAAAGCAUGGGGAGCGAACAGG
rnacentral:rRNA from 1 species